rnacentral:rRNA from 1 species
UACGUAGGGUGCGAGCGUUGUCCGGAAUUACUGGGCGUAAAGAGCUCGUAGGUGGUUUGUCGCGUUGUCCGUGAAAACUCACAACUCAAUUGUGGGCGUGCGGGCGAUACGGGCAGACUGGAGUACUGCAGGGGAGACUGGAAUUCCUGGUGUAGCGGUGAAAUGCGCAGAUAUCAGGAGGAACACCGGUGGCGAAGGCGGUUCUCUGGGCCGUAACUGACGCUGAGGAGCGAAAGCGUGGGGAGCAAACAGG